CUUCAUUCAACAGUGGCGCUUUUCUUUUCUUGUUCUCAUUAGUUUUCUUUCAAACUAGGGUACCCAGUCAGUUUGGGUAAUCAAACAAAUAUACAGAAAAUUAAUCAAAUACUUGAAUAUAAAAUAAAAAUCAUCAAAACCCUCAAAUUAAUUCAUCAAACCCAAAAUUCAAAAUAGCGAGAAGGUGAUUCAACAAAAAUACAAAUAAUUUUAGAAAUUGAUACCCAGAAAUUGAAAAAAAAAACAAAUAUAGAUCUAGAAAUUAAACAUGCAAAGUGGGUGGGUGAUUCAACAGACCAAUAGAUUCAUAAUCAAAUAACCAAAUAUCUAAAAUCAUAGAACCAACAAAUAUUUGCAUCAAAGAGAGUAGGCGAUUUAACAAAAUAUUGAUGCUUCUUGUGCGAUGACUACCAGAGUAAGGCACGNN
rnacentral:lncRNA from 1 species